UCACGCUCCCUGUCUUGACCGUAGGCAGACAGUUCUGAAGGCCCAUGUCGUUCAGCAUUUGCUCGAAUGAUUCGUAGACACGUUUCUCGACAACGUGACAGGUUACCGAUUCGUUGGAACAUUCGAACAGUAUUGUGUCGCCCGCAUUAACGGCUUUUAACGAUGAGGAUGCAAGUCUACCUUCGACGGUUUUUCGGCCUUUUUUGAUAAAGUCGAAGUACUUCUGUUGGACGUGAAGCUGUGUGGUAGCCAUUCUAUUGUCGUCAAACUUUUAAGCUUAAUUUAAUC